rnacentral:snRNA from 1 species
GGAUGUGAUGGCGAUCUGGCUGUGACAUCUGUCAGCCACUGAUUGCUGGGGUUGAACUGACCGACCUGACUGGCUGGGUCAUCCCCUUCCUCCCUCACCGCUCCCUAUGUGUCCCUGGAGAAGCUGAGCUUGCAAUGGGAGAGGACAGGCACCAUGGAUAGAGGAUGACAGUUCCCCAGGUCGAGGUAUGGCAGCAGCUACGCUUCCCUGUUGACAGCCUCCAAACUCUGGUUAGCAGCUGUCAGUGGUGGCGGGUAGAAAUGGGAGUUGCUGCUCACU